AAUGAACGCUGGCGGCAGGCCUAACACCUGCAAGUCGAACGGAUCCUUCGGGAUUAGUGGCGGACGGGUGAGUAACGCGUGGGAACAUACCCUUUGGUACGGAAUAGCCUCGGGAAACUGGGAGUAAUACCGUAUGUGGUCGAGAGACGAAAGAUUUAUCGCCAAAGGAUUGGCCCGCGUUGGAUUAGGUAGUUGGUGGGGUAAUGGCCUACCAAGCCGACGAUCCAUAGCUGGUUUGAGAGGAUGAUCAGCCACACUGGGACUGAGACACGGCCCACACUCCUACGGGAGGCAGCAGUAGGGCAUCUUAGACAAUGGGGGAAACCCUGAUCUAGCCAUGCCGCGUGAUCGAUGAAGGCCUUAGGGUUGUAAAGAUCUUUCAGGUGGGAAGAUAAUGACUGUACCACCAGAAGAAGCCCCGGCUAACUCCGUGCCAGCCGCCGCCGUAA
rnacentral:rRNA from 1 species